UCCUUUUUUCUAUCAGAUGAGAAGGGAGAAUCAAGAAGAACAGGGGCCAAUAAUCAUGAAAUGUAGACAUUUGUUUAAGAUCUCCUUUUCCUAACAAGCAUUUCUGACUCCAAGCAUUUAUAUGGUACCUGAGGGAGCUAAAAUCAUGAGAGUUUUCAGCAGAAGCAUGAUUGUUUUUAUGAAUUUAUUGUCGAUUGAUUCGAUGUUCUUCAUCAGAUGGAUUACAUAUGUAAACAUGGUUCAUGCUUGUACAUUAGUAACAGGUGGAUGAGAAGUAGCUACUCAAAUUUUUAGUUUGUCUUUGUUGCCAUUCAUGUUAUUUGCAUUGAUAUAUCUUCCUGCCUUUCUGUGAACAUGCAGAGAUGGAUUUGCAGUUAAAAGAGGGAAUUGCCAUUCAUCUGUAUUAUGAAUCAUGGAAUCUUACAUGGUACCUAACUUAAAAGCUUUAUUGAAAUAUAGCUAUUAUGCUUUUACAAAUUGGAAAUGGCCUGCCUAGACAAAGUGGGAAUGACCCUUUCAUCAAGAAUCUCCAAUUUUUUUUUUACAAUCCACAGAGGGAGAUUCAAACCCGGUUCUUUGAAUUACACAAAAAUACAUACACUUACUAUCGAUCUCAGACCAAGAUCAGUGGGAGAUGCAUACACUUACCAUCAAUCCCAGAUCGGGAUCAAUGGUAUAGGUUUGAUUCGAAACCCCGAAACUCAUGCCGUUGAAGCUCGUUUCAUGGAAAGAAUGGUCAAGAAAUUCCGGUGGCUUUGCUUUGGCUUGUUCAUAGACAUCAUCUUCCUCCCAGGUUUCUUCUGAUGACUCCUAAGCACACAAACAUCUCCCUGGCAGAUAUAUCUUUUAGAUUCUGAGGAGGAUUCUGUGAAACAGCUGAAGAUGUUUGGGAGCAACGCCAUGGUAUAAUCGAUCAAUGCUCCCAAAAAAGACUGCAAUAUUGUUUAAAAGAUUGUUUCCAUGAAUUUCUCUACCUGCUUAUAACGGGUGGAUGGCCAUUGCAGUUGGGUUUUUAGGCAAUUAGUCAAUGUC
rnacentral:lncRNA from 1 species